CAAUAGCGUAUAUUUAAGUUGUUGCAGUUAAAAAGCUCGUAGUCGGAUUUUGGCUGAGAACGAACGGUCCGCCGUUAGGUGUGCACUGUUUGGUCUCAGCUUCCUGGUGAGGAGGUGUGCUUCACGGCCACUUAGUCACCGUGGUUACUUUGAAAAAAUUAGAGUGUUCAAAGCGGGCUUACGCUUGAAUAUAUUUGCAUGGAAUAACACCAUAGGACUCCUGUCCUAUUUCGUUGGUCUCGGGACGGGAGUAAUGAUUAAGAGGAACAGUUGGGGGCAUUCGUAUUUCAUUGUCAGAGGUGAAAUUCUUGGAUUUAUGAAAGUCGAACUUCUGCGAAAGCAUUUGCCAAGGAUGUUUUCAUUGA
rnacentral:rRNA from 1 species